GACCGGGAAGAGAGACGUCCCCCGUCACGUCAUCUCCCGUCUAUCCCAGAUCGAGGGUGGGCUUAAUUGAAACCCCACCGGUCGUUCGGAACUGGUGGAUCUUCAGCAGUGGUCAAUAUAGGAGCGAUGGCGCUGAUUCAGCAUGAUUAAUCGGCUCCACUCUACCUCGUGGAGCUAGACCCCAGACUCGCCACGUGUCUGGCUUUAACCGACCACCACAGCGAUCGUCAGUGUUACAGGCGCCAGUGUGAUACCCUGGGAUAUGCCUUGAAGUUAUAUGUCCACAAUGUUGUUGUAUGGGUUUGGGGUAAUUCUGGAAUAAGUAUCCCAUGUUGGGUAGUGGAGCCCUGUUGUAAUUUGCUGGUAGCAGUAUUAUCGUGUAUGUUUUCAUAUAGGUAAUGAAAUGUAUCACCGUAAUACAGGUGCAAUCUGACGUGUUGAGUGAUAUUGUAAGAAGGGUAACCAAAAUCAUCGUUGUUCUCCCGAGGAAGGCCAAUUCACUUGUAUUUUUUUGCAGUAUGUUUUAUAAGCAAUAAAUUAGUUAAGACAU